GUGUUUUUCUCCGAGAACCUGCAGCAGAUUGCCUAUAAUUGCUCAUUGCUCUCCAUUAGUGUAUCUCCCUCCUGGCAACUCUUUAAUAGUUUACAUCUCUUGGGGCUGAAAAUUACUAUUUUAAUUAAAACAAUUUGUUUCAAAUGGGGCUCCCAAAUCCCCACACGAUGUUUUAGGAGCCCUGGGCGAAGAACAGAAAAUGGAGAGGAGCAAUUGUUUUUAGGGCUAAGAGUGAAGCUGAAUGUAGGAGUUUGGGAUUCGUGAGCCAUUUCUGAGGCCCAACCUUGCAGCUGAGGAAACGAACCCUCCAACGCGGAGGCUCUGAGAAGCAAUGAUUUUCUGGAGAAGAAAAAGAAAAUGCCAAGAAAAAGAGCUCUGAGCGCUUAAAUGCUACAACAACACGCUUUGGAAGUGGGAGGGAGCAGCCAGAGCCAUGCGUGUGCCAUUUGUUCUUCCUGCACGUGCCGAGCUGGAGGCUCGUGGUUGCUGUGCCAUUUCUCAGUUCCUGAGGGUUUUGUGCCUGCUGCCAGCUGUGCCCAGGGCUCCUGCUGCGUGCUGGAGCGAGUCCUUCGUCAGGCAUCGAGGGGAAGGACUUGGGAAGUUUCCAUAUCUGGGCCUGGGCCCCGAUGUCUGGAGUGCUGGAUUCACCAUACACCAGCAGCACAACGAUCAGCCGCUUCAUUCCAAGCACCUGCCUGCCUGCAAAACGUCCUUGCUCUGCGCUGAUGGCAGCCUUUGUGAUAGUUUCUGGGAAGCUGAUGCUCGCACGUGUGCCAGGGACUGGCUGGUGAGUGCAGACAGGAUUCCCUUCUGGACCAAGCCACCGACGAGAUGGGUUUUUUGCAGCUCCAGCUGCACAGGUACAAUGUAA
rnacentral:lncRNA from 1 species